rnacentral:rRNA from 1 species
CAGCGAUAAACAGAGUGAAAAGCUCUGUCGCCGUAAGCCCAAGGUUUCCUGCGCAACGUUCAUCGGCGCAGGGUGAGUCGGCCCCUAAGGCGAGGCGGAAACGCGUAGUCGAUGGGAAACUGGUUAAUAUUCCAGUACCUCUGCAUGAUGCGAUGGGGGGACGGAGAAGGUUACGCAAUCCGGGUGUUGGACGUCCCGGUUCAAGUGUGUAGGCGUGCCGCCUAGGUAAAUCCGGGUGGCUUAGCCGAGACAUGACGACGAGUGCCCUUGUGGCGCGAAGUUGCCAAUACCAUGCUUCCAGGAAAAGCCUCUAAGCUUCAGUCAUGCGGGGACCGUACCGUAAUCGGACACACGUGGGCGGGAUGAGUAUUCCAAGGCGCUUGAGAGAACUCAGGAGAAGGAACUCGGCAAAUUAGUACCGUAACUUCGGGAUAAGGUACGCCCCUAGUAGGUGAAAGUGUACAACUGGAGCCGAAUGGGGUCGCAGUGAAAAGGUGGCUGCGACUGUUUAACAAAAACACAGCACUCUGCAAACACGUCAAGUGGACGUAUAGGGUGUGACGCCUGCCCGGUGCCGGAAGGUUAAGUGAUGGGGUGCAAGCUCUUGAUCGAAGCCCCGGUAAACGGCGGCCGUAACAAUAACGGUCCUAAGGUAGCGAAAUUCCUUGUCGGGUAAGUUCCGACCUGCACGAAUGGCGUAACGAUGGCCACACUGUCUCCUCCUGAGACUCAGCGAAGUUGAAGUGUUUGUGAUGAUGCAAUCUCCCCGCUGCAAGACGGAAAGACCCCGUGCACCUUUACUGCAACUUUGCAUUGGACUUUGAUGAGAUUUGUGUAGGAUAGCUGGGAGACUUUGAAGUGGGGGCGCUAGCUCUCAUGGAGUCACCGUUGAAAUACCAGCCUGAUGUUAUUGAGGUUCUAACCUGGAUCCGUAAUCCGGAUCGGGGACCGUGCAUGGUGGGCAGUUUGACUGGGGCGGUCUCCUCCCAAAGAGUAACGGAGGAGUGCGACGGUACGCUUAGCGCGGUCGGCUAUCGCGCUGUAUGUGCAAUGGCAAAAGCGUGCUUAACUGCGAGACGGACAUGUCGAGCAGGUGCGAAAGCAGGUCAUAGUGAUCCGGUGGUUCUGUAUGGAAGGGCCAUCGCUCAACGGAUAAAAGGUACGCCGGGGAUAACAGGCUGAUUCCUCCCAAGAGUUCAUAUCGACGGGGGAGUUUGGCACCUCGAUGUCGGCUCAUCACAUCCUGGGGCUGUAGCCGGUCCCAAGGGUAUGGCUGUUCGCCAUUUAAAGUGGUACGUGAGCUGGGUUCAAAACGUCGUGAGACAGUUUGGUCCCUAUCUGCAGUGGGCGUUGGAAGUUUGAGGGGGGCUGCUCCUAGUACGAGAGGACCGGAGUGGACGCAUCUCUGGUGUACCGGUUGUCACGCCAGUGGCAUCGCCGGGUAGCUAAAUGCGGAAGAGAUAAGCGCUGAAAGCAUCUAAGCGCGAAACUCGCCUCGAGAUGAGACUUCCCGGGAACUUGAUUCCCCUAAAGGGUCGCGGAAGACCACCGCGUUGAUAGGUCGGGUGUGUAAGAGCAGCAAUGCUUUGAGCUAACCGAUACUAAUUGCCCGUGAGGCUUGAUC